CCCUGCAGCCAUGUCACCCUGCAAGUCACAGCUGGCAGCCCACUGAAGCUCAGCAGGUGUGAGCCUGGCCAGUACCUGGAUGGGAGACCUCCUGGGGAAAAACUAAGGGUACUGCUGGAA
rfam:Lepisosteus oculatus linkage group LG18, whole genome shotgun sequence.